AUGUUAUUUAACUUCAUUCUUUUAACCUUAUUUUGAAUGCAAUGUUGAUAAUUUGUGAUUUCAGAGAAGGCUCGAUGACAUACAAGCAAUUUAUGCAAGAACUUGAAGAUGAGAUACUGCCUGCUGAAGCUUAGCGCAUGUUGAGAGACAAAUAUCAUCCAACCAAGUGUUGCACAGUUAUAGUUGAUUGAUUUUGAGGUUGAUACCGGAUCGUUGUAGGAAUGUAACCUUUUGAUGUAACUUCGUACUUAUAACUUUAGAACUAACUUUAUACAUCCAUUUACUACUUAAUUGUAACUUCAUACUUGUAACUUAGAUUGACAUUACUGUAACUCUUUAUGAAAUUAUCGAAGUUUCUUGAUA